GAUUGAUAUGUGAAGGCCAAAGACCAACACCUUUCAUAUGCAUAUAGGGGAAUGUAUAAUUACACUUCAGGACAUAGCCGUCAUAGUUGGGCUCCGGAUUGAUGGCUUUGUUGUUACGGGCACAAAUGACCAUAAUUAGGAGAAUGUAUGUGAGAGGCUUCUUGAGGGUCCUCAUUUGAGGAGUGGUGCGAUGAAGCUAUCAUGGCUCCAAGAGGCAUUUAUGAGAGAUAUAUCUAUUGACGCCACAAGGGAGACGAUUCAGUAUUUUGCUCAUGCUUACCGAUUACAAAUGAUAGGCUAUAUGUUAUUUCUUGAUGCGAGCAAAAAUCAUGUACAUGCACGAUGGCUGACUCUACUUGAGAAUUUUGAGAUAUAAUGUGAGGAGCAUCCUACAGAACCCCAACCAGACAUACAGAGUUUUAUUGAUAUGAGCUAGAUAUUGUCCAACAUAAACAGUUCUAGUGGAUGACCUAUGCUCCGCAAGAUCUCAAUUUCCUUACACCUAGUUGUAGAGGUAGUGCUGAUUAGUGGAGGGCUACAGUCCCAAUGAUCUAUUUCAAGAUUGUGGAGAUGUAUAUGUCAGAUCAUGUUCUACGAUAAUUUAAUCUUGAACAGCAUGUGCCGGAUCCUAUUGAGCCCAUCGAUCCCACGCGUCGGAUGACAUCACAUCAUGUGGAUUAGAGGUGAUACUGCGAACCCUACAUAAACAGGUGCAAUGAUAGGUGGAAUUUUAUAAACAUGAGAGAAAUCCAGUGAGUUAUAACGAGUAUAUGCAUUGGUAUUAGGAUAUCAUACACAGAUGGAUCGUACGCGACCCACACCCAGUAGUUGGAUUCAUACCAUGCCCAUCAUUAGAUACUUACAUCCUGAGGGCAAUG